rnacentral:rRNA from 1 species
GUCUGCAGCCGCGCCACCCUGAACAAGCCCCAUCCCGUCUGAGCUCGGAAGCUAAGCAGGGUCGGGGCCGGUUAGUACUUGGAUGGGAGACCGCCUGGGAACAUCAGGUGCUGUAGGCG